UACCAGCACCCCGAGUGGUCGGGACGAUUAUUGGGCCUAAAGCAUCCGUAGCCGGUUUUACAAGUCCUCCGUUAAAUCCAACUGCUUAACAGAUGGGCCGCGGAGGAUACUAUAAGACUAGGAGGCAGGAGAGGCAAGCGGUACUCAGUGGGUAGGGGUAAAAUCCGUUGAUCCAUUGAAGACCACCAGUGGCGAAGGCGGCUUGCCAGAACGCACUCGACGGUGAGGGGUGAAAGCCGGGGGAGCAAACCGG
rnacentral:rRNA from 1 species